GACGAACGCUGGCGGCGUGCUUAACACAUGCAAGUCGAACGUGAUUUUUGUGGAAAUUCUUUCGGGAAUGGAAAUGAAAUGAAAGUGGCGAACGGGUGAGUAACACGUGAGCAACCUACCUUACACAGGGGGAUAGCCGUUGGAAACGACGAUUAAUACCGCAUGAGACCACAGAAUCGCAUGAUAUAGGGGUCAAAGAUUUAUCGGUGUAAGGAGGGCUCGCGUCUGAUUAGCUAGUUGGAAGGGUAAAGGCCUACCAAGGCGACGAUCAGUAGCCGGUCUGAGAGGAUGAACGGCCACAUUGGAACUGAGACACGGUCCAAACUCCUACGGGAGGCAGCAGUGGGGAAUAUUGCACAAUGGGGGGAACCCUGAUGCAGCGACGCCGCGUGAGCGAAGAAGGUUUUCGAAUCGUAAAGCUCUGUCCUAUGAGAAGAUAAUGACGGUAUCAUAGGAGGAAGCCCCGGCUAAAUACGUGCCAGCAGCCGCGGUAAUACGUAUGGGGCGAGCGUUGUCCGGAAUUAUUGGGCGUAAAGGGCUUGUAGGCGGUUGGUCGCGUCUGCCGUGAAAUCCUCUGGCUUAACUGGGGGCGUGCGGUGGGUACGGGCUGACUUGAGUGCGGUAGGGGAGACUGGAACUCCUGGUGUAGCGGUGGAAUGCGCAGAUAUCAGGAAGAACACCGGUGGCGAAGGCGGGUCUCUGGGCCGUUACUGACGCUGAGGAGCGAAAGCGUGGGGAGCGAACAGG
rnacentral:rRNA from 1 species